UUGACCUCAAAUCAGGUAGGACUACCCGCUGAACUUAAGCAUAUCAAUAAGCGGAGGAAAAGAAACUAACAAGGAUUCCCCUAGUAACUGCGAGUGAAGCGGGAAAAGCUCAAAUUUAAAAUCUGGCUAGCUUCGCUGCCCGAGUUGUAAUCUAGAGAAGCAUUAUCAGCGCUCGCGGCGUGUAUAAGUGUCCUGGAAUGGACCAUCAUAGAGGGUGACAAUCCCGUCUUUGACACGGCUGCCUUUAGUGCUAUUGAUGUGCUCUCAACGAGUCGAGUUGUUUGGGAAUGCAGCUCUAAAUGGGUGGUAAGUUCCACCUAAAGCUAAAUAUUGGCGAGAGACCGAUAGCGAACAAGUACCGUGAGGGAAAGAUGAAAAGAACUUUGGAAAGAGAGUUAAACAGUACGUGAAAUUGCUGAAAGGGAAACGCUUGAAGUCGGUCGCGUUGGUUGGGUAAUCGAGAAAUCAACCUUGCUUUCUAAAAGCUUGGCUUAUUUCCCAGCUGACGGGCCAGCAUCAGUUUUGACCGGUGGAUAAAGGCCAAGGGAAUGUGGCACCUCUUGGGUGUGUUAUAGCCCUCGGUCAUAUACAUCGGUUGGGACUGAGGAACUCAGCACUUGUUGCUUAGGAUGCUGGCAUAAAGGCUUUAAGCGACCCG
rnacentral:rRNA from 1 species